rnacentral:misc_RNA from 1 species
CUGAGUUAGGGUCUUUAUGGCCCGACCUCCAACCCUCUGUUGAUUAUACCAUGUUGCUUUGGCGGGCCUGCCUUUCAGGGCUGCCGGGGUGCGUUACUGCCCCUGGCCUGCGCCCGCCAGGAGCCUUUUUUAAAUUCUGAGUUAAACAAUGUUGUCUGAGUCCCAAUAUCAAAUUAUCAA